rfam:Triticum aestivum genome assembly, contig: Triticum_aestivum_CS42_TGACv1_scaffold_020792_1AS
UUAGUACUCCCUCCGUCCCAAAAUUUUUGUCUUAAAUUUAUACAUAUGUAUCUAUUCACGUUUUAGUGUUAGAUACAUCCGUAUCUAGAUAAAUGUAAGACAAGAAUUUUGGGAAGGAGGUAGUACUUA